UGGGGAAUAUUGGACAAUGGGGGCAACCCUGAUCCAGCAAUGCCGCGUGUGUGAAGAAGGCCUGCGGGUUGUAAAGCACUUUUGGCAGGGAUGAAAAGCACUGGAUUAAUAACCUAGUGUGUUGACCUAACCUGCAGAAGAAGCACCGGCUAACUCUGUGCCAGCAGCCGCGGUAAUACAGAGGGUGCGAGCGUUGUUCGGAAUCAUUGGGCGUAAAGGGCGUGUAGGCGGUAUGUUAAGUCAUGUGUGAAAUCCCUCGGCUCAACCGGGGAACGACGCAUGAAACUGGCAAGCUAGAGUACCAAAGAGGGUGGUGGAAUUCUUGGUGUAGCGGUGAAAUGCGUAGAUAUCAAGAGGAACACCUGUGGCGAAGGCGGCCACCUGGUUGGAUACUGACGCUGAGACGCGAAAGCGUGGGGAGCAAACAGGAUUAGAUACCCCAGUAGUCCCUGAGCGGGCUGGCAAGGCGCAU
rnacentral:rRNA from 1 species